GAUGAACGCUGGCGGCGUGCCUAACACAUGCAAGUCGAGCGAUCUUCUUCGGAAGAGAGCGGCGGACGGGUGAGUAACGCGUGGGUAACCUGCCCUGUACACACGGAUAACAUACCGAAAGGUAUGCUAAUACGAGAUAAUAUACUUUUAUCGCAUGGUAGAAGUAUCAAAGCUCCGGCGGUACAGGAUGGACCCGCGUCUGAUUAGCUAGUUGGUAAGGUAACGGCUUACCAAGGCGACGAUCAGUAGCCGACCUGAGAGGGUGAUCGGCCACAUUGGAACUGAGACACGGUCCAAACUCCUAGGGGAGGCAGCAGUGGGGAAUAUUGCACAAUGGGCGAAAGCCUGAUGCAGCAACGCCGCGUGAGCGAUGAAGGCCUUCGGGUCGUAAAGCUCUGUCCUCAAGGAAGAUAAUGACGGUACUUGAGGAGGAAGCCCCGGCUAACUACGUGCCAGCCGCCGCGGUAACAC
rnacentral:rRNA from 1 species